rnacentral:rRNA from 1 species
GAUGAACGCUGGCGGCGUGCUUAACACAUGCAAGUCGAACGGAGAAAGGGUAGCUUGCUAUCUUUUCUUAGUGGCGGACGGGUGAGUAACGCGUGGGUAACCUGCCCUUUGCAGGGGGAUAACAGUGAGAAAUCACUGCUAAUACCGCAUACCAACUUCUUUCGCAUGAAAGAAGUUUGAAAGAUUUAUCGGCAAAAGGAUGGACCCGCGUUGGAUUAGCUAGUUGGUGAGAUAACAGCCACCAAGGCAACGAUCCAUAGCCGGCCUGAGAGGGUGAACGGCCACACUGGGACUGAGACACGGCCCAGACUCCUACGGAGGCAGCAGUGGGGAAUAUUGCACAAUGGGCGAAAGCCUGAUGCAGCGACGCCGCGUGAAGGAUGAAGGUCUUCGGAUUGUAAACUUCUAAUCAGCAGGGAAGAAAGGGCCUAUGGCCUAUGACGGUACCUGACUAAGAAGCCCCGGCUAACUACGUGCCAAGCAGCCCGGUAAAAGUCAACG